GAUGAACGCUGGCGGCGUGCCUAACACAUGCAAGUCGAACGGAGUCGUUUUGGAAAUCUCUUCGGAGAUGGAAUUCUCGACUUAGUGGCGGACGGGUGAGUAACGCGUGAGCAAUCUGCCUUUAAGAGGGGGAUAACAGUCGGAAACGGCUGCUAAUACCGCAUAAAGCAUUAAAUUCGCAUGUUUUUGAUGCCAAAGGAGCAAUCCGCUUUUAGAUGAGCUCGCGUCUGAUUAGCUAGUUGGCGGGGUAACGGCCCACCAAGGCGGCGAUCAGUAGCCGGACGGAGAGGUUGAACGGCCACAAUGGGACUGAGACACGGCGCAGCCUACUACGGGAGGCAGCAGUGGGGAAUAUUGCGCAAUGAGGGAAAACCUGACGCAGCAACGCCGCGUGAUUGAAGAAGGCCUUCGGGUUGUAAAGAUCUUUAAUCAGGGACGAAACAAAUGACGGUACCUGAAGAAUAAGCUCCGGCUAACUACGUG
rnacentral:rRNA from 1 species